rnacentral:lncRNA from 10 species
GAAGUAUUAGAUCCUCAAUCUCAAGGUAUUCUAAGAAAUUUUGGAGACCAUUGAGUCUAAAAUUCCCAGUAUCUUUGAGGCAGGAACAGACUUGGAGAAUGUAGUUUAUGAGCAGGAGUUUGGAGCUGGAAGAAAUACUGCUUUCUGUUGGUGGUUAAUGCUGUCAGCUCCUUGGAUUGUGGCUUUAGCCCUAAAUAUUGGGGCAGUAGAGACUCUUACCUGGAAAACAAUUGAGGGCCACCCAUGUUAGCGGCAAGAGGCAGAGGAAAGCUUGGAUGGUUGGGCUGAAGAUGGUGGAUGUGCUGUCCCUGUGAGAGUGCUGAUGCUGGACUCUGGAGCCAACGACAAAGUGUUUGAGCAAGCAGGGUCCAAGCAAGGGCAGUCGAGGGCCGGAUGAAGUGGGCAGGAACCGAGUUUCCCAGGUGACAUCCUGCCUGUGCUCAUCACGCCGAGGGGUGUUGCACAAUCACACCGAUUCUUUGUCACUACUGAGUGCAGUGUUCUUAAGAAUGGGGACCUGGCAGCUGGGUGCGAUGGCUUGUGCCUGUAAUCCCAACACUUUGGGAGGCUGAAGUAGGCAGAUCACGAGGUCAGGAGUUUGAGACCAGCCUGGCCAACAUAGUGAACCCUGUCUCUACUAAAAAUACAAAAAAUUAGCCAGGCCUGGUGGCAGGCACCUGUAAUUCCAGCUACUCGAGAGGCUGAGGCAGGAGAAUCGCUUGAAACCGGGAGGUGGAGGUUGCAGUGACCCAAGAUCGUGCCAUUGCCCCCUGGCCUGGGCGACAGUGCGAGACUCUCAAAAAAAUAAGUAAAUAAAUAAAAGGAGACCUAGG